GUCCACCUCACAGAUGUCACCCUUAUUGCUUGCAUUCCAACUAUUUAAGAGCUAACCCGUUGUGCUAGUUUGAGAUGACUGUUGCUUAAAGUGUGGGGUGCAUUUCACUGUGAUAAGCAGGAUGCUUUGAAAUGUCAUGUAGACAAACAUUUUUAUUAAUAAUUAGGUAUUUUUCACUGUGCAUUUAAACAAGGUUCAUUUGGAAAAGUAAAUAAAAAUGGACUCAACUAAAGUGUAUGAAGCAAGUAUUAAUACAGGUGUUAGAAGGAUAUGACAAAAUCAUGCAGGUGAUACAUCAAUGAGUAUAGAUUAGGAUAUACUCCUAGAAUAUAAGUCCAUAACUUGUUAAGCAAAACUCAUGGGGCCAGAUGAGUUUCAUAAUUCAGAAUAUCUCAUGCAGUAUUUGACACCCCCAGAGGUAACUGAGACAACAUUCUCAAGUCAAACACGUUAUUAUUUCUGCAGUAAAACUGAUGAAUAUUCAUCAUAAGUGGGAUAAAGUCUAUAAAUGGACUCAUCAAUUCAGUACAAGUUUUGCAGCCAAAUGAAUUACAAAAAAAUAUUGUUUCUCAGAUGCUUUUGCAUUUUGGAAUUGUAGAUAAGAGAGAUUUUGUUGUCGUUGUUUUGGUUUUUGAGACAAGGUCUGGCUCUAUCACCCAGGCUGGAGUACAGUGGUGCCAUCUUGGCUCACAGCAACCUCCGCCUCCUGGGCUCAAGCGAUCCUCCCACCUCAGCCUCCCAAGCAGCUGGGACUACAGGUGUGCCCCACCACACCCGGCUAAUUUUUGUAUUUUUUGUAGAACAGGUUUUCACCAUGUUGCCUAGGCUGAUCUCAAACUUGAGAUCUCAAGUGAUCCACCCACCUUGACUUCCCAAGGUGCUAGGAUUACAGGUGUGAGCCACUGCACCUGGCCAGAUAACAGAUUUUUAACCUGUAGUAAAAUAGGCCAAGAGGAAAAACAAGCAAAUUCAAGAACCUUAGGCCUGAGCCAUACUGUAUAGUAUGGCUAUACCCCCAAACAUUCUCCCUCUCAUCAUCUGAUUUGUGAGGUAGGUCCUCCAUAUUACAGAUGAGGAAUUUGAGGCUUACAGAGGGUAGGUGACUUAGCCAAGAUCACACAGCUGGUAACCAACAGGGCCAGAAUUAGGAUCCAAGAUUAGAAUCCAAGUCCUGUGCCUCCAGAUAUUUGAUCUUUUUAUACUGUAAUCCAUACAUCAUAUAAGGCCUGAAGAGGCAGAGGCUGAAUUCUUGAACAUGUUCCCUGAGUGCAGAUAUGCUUUCCCCCAGGAAGGUGUCUUACCUGACUCUGUCAUUUCCACCGAGGGGGGCUCUGGAGGGGAAGGAUGGGAGUGGAAGAUAUAACCUUGGCCUUUUAAUGUUGAGCUACGGAUGUAUCCAAGGUGCUUGGAUCAAUCUCUUCAGACAGUGCAUGAAACCCAACUGAAAUGCUUGUGACAGUCCAGUGGUAUUUCAGGGAACCAUUGCCUGUUUCUUCCAGAAAUUCUAAUAAGAAUGGACAUUUAUUGAGCACCUGCUAUAUGCCAGACAUUCCUUCCUCUAACAGUUUAGGGGUGUUCUUACCAUUUCCCUCCCCCAGAUAGAGAAAUGGGAGUUCAGAGACACAGCCAAGAUUACAUUGCUGGUAAGUGACAAGUAAGAGUUAGGCCAGGUUUGAUUCUGUUCAAGGACCACACUCUUACCCACUACCCUCAAAGAGCAGCGGCAGAGCCCUUGAUUUCUGAUCCACCCAUGGGAGGGACGCCUUUUCCCCUGUCACCAGGGUACAGCCAGUUUCUGCAUUUUGCAUGCUUGUGUUCCAGAAAUUCAAGUGCAAGUUGAUCCAACCUCCUAAGUUUGAUGGCAUGGACCUUAGCAUUAGGGAAGUAUGCAGGAGCUGGCUGUAUUCAGGAAGCCACCAUAGAUGCAUAUGGCUGGAAUAUUAAAUGAGGGCGGGGUUUGGGGAAGAACUGGGGGCAAUUGUUAAAUCAGAAAGAGCCUUGUUGUUCUUGCUUAGGAGACAUCAAUUUUGUUCUCUAGGCAAUGGAGAAUCACCAGAUAAUUUUGCAUGGGGCAAUGACAUGGUUAUAUUUCCAUGUGAUGUCUUAUUUGGCUUGGAAAUCAGGUGCUGCUUCCCAGAGGAGGUAUCAGUUAACCUAGGACUGAAAGGAUGGAUUGGAUGUCACCCAGGGACGAAGCGACUGUGACAAGAUACAAGCACAGGGAUCCCAUGAGCUUGGCAGGAGUGUGUGAUCUCACUGCAUAGGUACAGACACAGCACUAAUGGAGGCUGAGCACAGAUGGCAGAACUGGAGACAAGCUCCCGGGAACCCAGGUCCCUGGGAGGUGGCCCUGGCCUGUGGGCUGGGGGAAGAAAGCUCCCAUGUUGUGAGGCAUAAAAAGGCCCACAUGUCAAAGAACUACAGCCUGCCAGCGACCACGUGACUGAGCUUGGAGGUGGAUCAUCCCUCAGGGAAGCCUUGAGAUGACAGCAGGCUGGGAGGGAUGCUCAGCCAGGACCAUGCAGCCAUGCUGCUCCGGCAUUCCUGAACCACAGAUGCUGUGAGAUGACAUUUUUUUCCCUCUACAUGUGUCAGCACUUCCCAGAUGUGAUGAUGGUAUUUGAAAGAGCAUGAUCUGGAAAUCCUGAGCCGUGCUGCCACAAGAAAAUGGAUGCACAGAGGACAAGGCCAGGCAGCGCAGGUCUUCAUUACACUGAGACUUUGCCUGAGUCCCAUGGUGCCCCAGUGCCCUGGCCUGGGCACAUCAGCACUGCCUUCUGUCCAGGCCCCAUGAGUCUCAGAUGGUGGACCCUGGUGACGGAAGGCUGGGUAGAUGCCAUGGACCUUUCCAUAGGUCAUAGCCACAGCUGAGCACUUGGUGUCUUACUACUCAGUGGAGAGGAGAAGUGUGCUGAAGGGUGGUAAGAGAGUGUGUCCAGGGGCCCAGACCAGAGUGGGCCAUGCCUCAUCUAGAGAGCAAGCAUCUUCCAGAAAGGAGAGCCCUUGGGUCCUUUUACAGAAGCAAUCAGAAAAACAUCGGGAAUCUCCCAGAAGACUGAAUGUAAGAGGACGAAGGGUCCGGGCACAGUGGCUCAUUCCUGUAAUCCCAGAACUUUGGGAGACUGAGGUGAGUGGAUCACUUGAGGUCAGGAGUUCGAGACCAGCCUGAACAACAUGGUGAAACCCCAUCUCUACUAAAAAUACAAUAUUAGCUGGGCAUAGUGGCGCAUGCCUGUAAUCCCAGCUACUCAGGAGGCUGAGGCAGGAGAAUCGCUUGAACCCAGGAGGAGGAGGUUGCAGUGAGCCGAGAUUGCAUCACCGCAUUCCAGCCUGGGCAACAAAGCAAGACUUCAUCACACACACACACACACACACACACACACACACACACACACAAACGAAACAACAACAACAACAAAACCAAAAAAAAAGAAAAAGAAAAGUCAGGUCUGGGGAGCUGAAGUGGCUGACAGAGGAGGAGGAGAAUUAUCUGCAGUGCUUCCCAAAUUCAGGACACUCACCCAGUGCAUCUCAAAGCCUGAGUCCUCAUAUCUCUUCUGGGGAAAGGAGAGAAAGAAUUGCUGGUGGAUUCUGCUGUGUUUUGCCUUGAGGUCAUUAUGGGCAAAAUUUCACACCUAUAAGGCCCAUUGCUGAGGAGGGAGUGGACCUCUGUGAUUCCUCUUGAGCAAAGGAAUAAACAUCCUAAGUUUGUGAGUAAAGCGUCCAUCACAUUCUCUGGAGCCAUCACUGCUGUUUGGAGAGGUGGGAGUUGAGAGAGGCCAUUACUGGGCAGAACCUGAGUUUUCACUUGAAGAUUCGUCCCUUAUGAAUCCAGCCCCUAGAAAACAGAGCAGCCAGCAGGCCUGUGACAUUUCAGUUUGGCUAUAAAAACUACAGGUUAAUAAUAAAACUCUUUUCUGGUUUUAAAAUUAUAUUCACGUGCAUCAGCUCACAUUUCUGAAAAAGCACUUAGGACAGCACCUGAGGCAACUUAAGCAUCAUAUAAAUGUUGGUUUUGUGGUCAUUCUUGUUUUAUAAUUAUUAUUAUUUGUAUCCUCACCCUGGUAGGCAGACAAGGCCAUAGUCAAUAUUAUAGUCGUUUUAUGGAUAAUAAAAAAUGGGAGAGGAAUUAAGUAACCUAUUUAAAUUCAUAUAAUAAACAAAUGGCAGAGCCAGGACUUGAAGCCAGGUUUUUAGGCUGCACAUCUCAGCUUUAACAAAUGACAGAACACCUGCUCUCACAUGUGGCUUUAUUUGUCACCUAACCACCCUCUUAGGCAGGUAGGCACUGGGGGCAGUGCUCAUGAGCUAGGCUUUUCAGCAAGAACCAGACAUGGAUAUGUAUUGGUUCUGUCACUUACCAGCCCUGUGACCUGGAGCUGGUUUUUUAACCUCUCUGGGCCCCACAAUUUUCACUGGUAGAUGGAGUAACAGUAGUGCUGACAUCCAGGGCUGUGGAUGAGGAUUGGGGAAGAUAUUUUGAUAUGAGUCUAGUGCUCAGCACACAAUGGCAGUGAUUAUAAUCACAAUAUGGUCAUUUUUCAGAUGAGAAAACUAGCUCAGAGAACAAAUGUGAUUUUCUAAAGAUUUGGGUUUCCUUGCUCCUAAUUCCUAGUUCCUGCCACCACUGAAAUCAGGACCGUAGAUGUUGCUCUCAGCAUGACCAUUAGUUUAGACAGCUGUAGGUAAUCAGAGCCAAGCAAUGCCCUCCCAAAUACAACAAUCACACACAGAAAAACAUGGAACCCUUCUGCAGAUGCCUUCCUUCACUAGCCCUAACCUCACUCUAGUGUCAUCUUUAUUUGGUUCAAGCCCUACCCAGUAUUUCUGUCUUCACCUGGAUUUAAAUGCUCCUGUGAUCACACAUAAGCUUUCAUGCAUCUAUGUCUCGUUUCUAUAAUCAUUACAGUGUAAGUGAACAUAUAAUAGCUGCUUCUUCAGACCACACUUCCUCUCGGCAGUGCCUACCACAAUCAUGGUAGGUAUUGACUCUAUGUCUAGUGGCCCCACCUUUCCUCUGUAGCCCAAGCCACAUAUCUUUGUUGCUUCCUUUUACUUCUUUGCUAGUCACAGUUUGUAGUUGCAGACAACAGAGUCCAUUUCCAUUUCUGAAAGAAAGAUUUUUCCUUCUUUUUUCUUCUUCUCUCUCUUUUCUUCUCACUCACAGAAUUAUUCGAAGGGUAGACAUCUGAGCUCUAGACUAAGCUCCCAGGUCCACAUGUAGAUUUGUCCCAUUCACGUCGAUGCAGUUGUCCCUGAGAUGAGAAACCACACAGCUUUUGCCGUCCCCUGUACCAGCAAAAUGGAUGCCCCCUGUCCAGCCUGUGUCCCUGCAUAGGUUACUUCUGGAUGGAAUUCUCAUACUGGUGCAUCUGGCUAGUUGAAUCAGGCACAUUUCUGCCCCCAAGCUGUGAGGGAGGCUGGGAAAUGUAGGUUUUGUUUCUGCUCUGGGAAGGCAAGGGUAACACUGAUGGAAACUAUCCACGAGUUAAUGGAGCAUUUAAAGUAUUUGGGGGACACAGAGCAAAGACAAGGUGUAUAAUCCAUCUUCAGCAUCCACAUGUAAUUGGUAAGCAAAUUUCAGCAGUUCUAAAUAUGAACACUUCUGGGAUUCAUCUACUUCUCUCUACCCCACUGCAGUCCUUUGGCUCAGUGCUUCUCACAUGGACAAUGGCAACAGCUUGUAAGUAGUCUCUCUGGCUCAGUCCCCUUUCUGCCCUAUCUCACGUAUGUUUUGUAGCCAGUGUUACUCCUUUGCUUAAAAUCCUCAAAGCUCCUGGUUGCUUUCAGAAGUGAGUUUAAACUUAUAAUUAUGGCUUUUAAAAUCCUUUGGAAUCUCAGGCCGGGGGUGGUGGCUCACGUCUGUAAUCCCAGCACUUUGGGAGGCUGAAGCGGGUGGAUCACC
rnacentral:lncRNA from 1 species